UCACUUGCAGCUAAGGUAGAUUCACCAAAUUGGAGACAAUCUCUCGAUUGGGAGACAUCUCCUGAUCGGGAGACAUUUAACAAACAAAUAUACCUACUUUGUCACUGGAUGCAGAGACUGUCUCCCGAAUCAGCGAUAUAUUUUAGCAGUGGUGUCAUUUAACAAUCAUUGCGCAGAAAAAGAUUGCUUUGCGCCUUUUUAUAGUUGGACCAGCAGAGAGAUAUGAUAAGAUAAGAUAAUCUUUAUUCAGUGUCGGUUUUCACAAACAUGUAAACAUUAGCUAUAACAAGCUAGUUUCCGACAUAACAUGAUUAUCCUAUAACAAUACAAACAAACAAUCUAAAAGGAUAAGAAAAGUACAUGGUUAAGGCUAAGAUACAAAAUAAAAUUAAUGGUAAACAGUAAACAUUUUAAAGCACAUACAAGCUGGAAAAAAGCAGAUUGCUAAAACUCCUAAGCAUAAUAAAACUACUGUAUACUAUAAGCAAAAUUAUGAUUAUGUUAAUGCUAAAGUUACAAAUAUGUUAAUAAAUGGGAUAAAAAACAUUUUGUAUUAUUAUUCAUAAUCAAUAGUUAAGUCAAAAUAAAAUAAUUGGGAAGAUAAACAUAAAACAUAAAAUGGAAGCUUUCAUAUACAGAUAUAAUUGUGACACCCUAUUUACUAUGUGUAUAUGUCUGCAUCAGCAGCAGCUUUUCUGAUGCAGGCAUAUAAACAUAGUAAAUUAACAAAAAAGAACUAUUUACAUCUUUCUAGCAGAUAGAAUAUGCAUAAGAAAACAAAAGAAUAAAUGCAGCAGCAACAAAAGGGACAUCAGCUGACAAACUAAAGAAAUUAGUCUGAUGCAAAAAUAUAUGCACAAGGUUAAAAUGCAAAGAGAUAAGUUGCGUAGCGGGAAAAAUGAGGUUAGAAGUCAGUCGCUUUGCCGACAUUUACCGAGGAAAUUCUGAACUACGCACAUGAUGAAGGCCUAUGAAUAUCUAAAAAUGUCGAUCUUUUCCAGUUUUAAUGAACAGAAUUAUUCUUAAAUUGAAAUAUAAAUCCAAUAAACGACGAAAAAUGUUGAAGCAAGUUUUGUUUACAUCCCGCCAUGAUCCGCUGUUCUAAAUUCCGUACAGUCCGUAUAGGUAUGACUAACGGCUGGAUAUCGGAUCUGGGUGUGUACAAAAGAAUAAUGGGCUCCAGUUCAAAAAUAACAAUAUGAUCAAACACUUGCUUUAUUAAAACAACUCUUGCUAACAAGACUCAGUAUAAGGUUGUUUUUCUCAGAUGAUGUAUACAUGUAUUUGUACAAACCUGCAAUUUCCUUUUUACAGAGCUUGCUUUUAUUUCAUUAUUAUUAUACAUUUGUUGUAUCUGACUUAAUCUAAAGAUUCUUAUAUAUAUGUAUAUAUUGUUUUCCAUCUAAUAGUCUAUUACUAUUUAAACGAUCAUUUAUCUUUUUAGAUAAGCUGAUCACAACCAUGGACCAUGUGUACUCAGCUGCAGAGACAGAACUGGGUCAAGAGGUAGAGAUAGAGCUGCCCAACAGCACUGAGGCAAAUGUAACAGCUGCAGUUGAAAUUUUGGAUACUCAGCACGCUCAGAUUGAUGAAUGCACAAGUACAGGUAGUCAAUCCAUGAAAUCCAUGAGUACACAGCACCAUAAAGGCCCAAUCAACCUGGGAUAUAUCUCUAACAGAAGGGCAAGGCAAAAGUGUUUUUCAAAAAGAUUGAAGACUUAAGUCUCGGGCAAUGGCUCUUCACAACCUGUGUGGGGUGAAGGUGGAGCUCAGGGUGGCUCUGCUACCAGUAGCCUUCAGACAUGUGAAGCUGCAGACAGGCGAGAGCAGCUUCGCAUGUCAAAGAGGAACAGUUGUAUCAUCCCCUCCUCCCCAGAUACACACACCAAAGAAGAAAAAGGUGAUCAACAAUAUGCCAGGGUAGAGGCCUGCAGAGAAGGCUAUUAAGCCAGUGACGGCUGUCAACAACAAAUGCUCAGUUUGCUCAAUUAUAUUUAAUUCUAAAGCAGACAAACUUUUCAGGAAAAGUUUGAUAUAGCGGAUGGACGUCAGCGGAGGUAACUAGAGUCAUGGAUCGGGACCAGGGCAUAACUUGCCAACAACAAAAAAAAGAGAAAAUUUUAGUGUGGUGUAAAAGUAAAACAGAAUGACAAGAGAGAAGUAAGUUCAGAAUUGAAAAGAUGCAGGUCUUUAUUCUACAUGGUGAAAGAGGAAUUUUUAGUGGAUUUUUGGAUUUACCAGUGAAACCUGUGAAGUGUUAGUGAAGCAGAAUAGUUACAGAUCACAAGAGAUGCAGGUCUUUGUUCAGCUUGGUGUAUAUGGAAAACAUAGUGGAUGGCCAGCUAGAAAAUAUUUAAGGAGUCUAUAGGACUGUGAUGUGUGUACCAGUCUAUCAGGCUAUCCCAUUCUGUCCAGUCAACAAAUUUGCAGUGGCUACAUGGAUUCUCAUGUAACUUGAGCAAUAUAUGAGGCAGAGCUAUCAGCAGAUUGCCAGAGACACAGCAAGAAGUACCCAUUUUUUUCCACAUGUAUGGCCAUGAACAGAUUUUCACAGAAAAAGUAAGAAAAUGCUCUCACAUUGGUGUUCCUGUUAAACAAACAAAAAGGGAGUUGCUGGAGGUAUUGCUAUAGAUGCAGAUGAUCAUAGAUUUGUAUGACCUGGUAACUGGAGUGCAAAGUCAGACAAAACAGCACCAGUUGCUGAGGUCCAAGUUUCCCAGAAAUGGAUAAUUUUAAGGCCCAGUGGAAUCAGAGAUUACAUUUAUUGGUGAUAAUUUGACAAAGCCUGAGUUGUAAAGUUUUUACAUGAGACAGUUAGGGAGAGCGAGUUUACAUUUUGAUGGAACCACGUUACAGGUAUUUCUCCAUUACAGAAGGAACUGUAUGCCUGGAAGAUUUAUUAUGCCAACGAAGAAUCACAGUGCCAUAUGUGUGUUGCAGUAUCAGACAGAAUCCUAGGAAACCCAUACUAAAUAAAGGACCAACACAAUCAGACAAGUUGGCAUGAUUUUACUUUCAAGAAUGGUUACAGUCUGCCCAAGAUUCAAGUCUGAAGAUACCAUUGGCCGAUCUUAGAAUCUUUUUUUUAUACCCCCACAAAACUAAGUUUGGGGGGUAUAUAGGAGUGAGCUUGUCGGUCAGUCGGUCGAACCGUUGGUUUUCAUGGUUUCCAGACAAUAAUUCAUGAAAAGUUUGACAGAUUUAGAUUUAUUUUGCUACACAGGUGUAACAUUAUAAAAUACAGGUCAAGUUUGACUUUGAGGUCAGUAGGUCAAAGAUCAAGGUCACAAUGACCCAGAACAGUUAAACGGUUUCCAGAUGAAAACUUGAGAAAGCUAGGGCCAAGGAUCAUAAAUUUUGGUAAACAGGUGUAACAUCAUAAAAUACAGGCCAAAUUCCACUGAGGUCAAAGGUCAAGGUCACAUUGACCUGGAACUGUUAUAUUGUUUCCGGAUGAUAACUUGAGAAUUCUUGGGGCUAGGAUCAUAAAUUUUGGUACACAGGUAGAACAUUAUAAAAUAUAAGUCAAGUUCGACUUUCAGGUCAGUAGGUCAAGGAUCAAGGUCACAAUGACCAGGAACAGUAGAACAGUUUCCGGAUGAUAACUUGAGGACUCUUAGGCGUAGGAUCAUGAAAGUUGAUAAGGAGGUUGGUCAUGACCAGCAGAUGACCCCUGUUGAUUUUGAGGUCAGUAGGUCAAAGGUCAAGGUCACAGUUACCCGGAACAGUUAAAUCGUUUCCGAACGAUAACUUGAGAACGCUUGGGCCUAGGAUCACAAAACUUAAUAGGGAGGUUGAUCAUGACCAGCAGAUGACCCCUAUAGAUUUUCAACUUUGACACUGGCUUACUUCUGUGACAAGGCCAUAUUGUGGGGUUAUAUUCCAUCACUCCAAUGACAGCUCUAGUUUAGGUUUAAGUUUAAAAAUGACAUUGACUUAAGACUACAUGUAUACUGUUUUCAGUCAAAGGCUUUCCUCUGUUUUUUUUUUGUUUUGUUUUUUAUCAACAUACCGGUAUUAAGAUCUGGAAAAGUCAUUAUUACAAAAAUAUUGUAACAGACUUCCUAAUAUUUGGCAAGCUGAUCUAUUCCAUCUGCAUUCUUGAAGUUUACUGCUUAAGAGUAAUAAUUAAAACUGGAAAUGAUGAUUUUAUAAGUUUCAUUUUUGAAAAUUUUGAACAGUUUUUCAUAAACUGAAGAAUCUGGAAACACCUUGAUACAUUAUUGAUUAUUACAUUAUAAAGUGCUGGUCCAUAGUUAGUGCUGUUGGCCAGUCUAUAGUUCAGGCCCCAAUUUCACGAAAAAAAAUUAAGUAAUUGUUAAGCUAAGUCAGUUAAUUCAAAUGCUUGUUUUUGCCCUUUGUCUUCAAUGUUGACUUUUUCAUCUAUAUCAGAACCUUAUAUGACUAUUUCAUAGAUCAAAACACAACAAUUCUGAAUUUUGCAGAAAGCCAAGUACAUGUAUAGAAAUAAGAAAUUUACUUAAGCAAAUACUUCGUUAUAUUGUGCUUAAAUAGAAAUAUCAUAUAUUAUUAUUCAACUUUACAAUAUUAUACACUGUAUUAGAUCAAUUGCAAACAUCAUAUGAAACAGACAGAGCUAAUACAAAACAUAACUUAGCCAAUAUGAGAAAAACAGGGCCAGUACGAGAAAAACAGGGCCAAUAUGGAAUUCUAGCAUUUUGAUUGGUUCAAAAGAGAGGGCCAAUACGGAGAAGCCACUUCCGUUAGAUUUUUAAAUGACGCCAUUUUGUUUUACAUCAGAGUUAUAGAUUAUAUUUUUUUUUUUACAUUUUGACAAAAAAUCAUUUAAUAACCAAGUAUGACUGAGCGGGAUGUACGUCUUCAGAGAUUACAACGAUACUUUCGCUUAUUCGGUAUUUUGUAAAAUGCAGGUGUUUCCUGUCAGAAAUUCUGGCAGUUGUCAAGGAAAAUAAUAAGAAAAUAUGGAAACUCAGAUUAAUUAAAAGGAUGAGACUCACCUUUAACAGACAUUUUGAUAGUGUGGACUAUUUGUGCAAUGAUAAAUAGCGAUUCAAAUGCUGGAAAGUGCAUGAAUAGAUUGGCGAACAAGAGUGUCAGUUGUGAACUGCAAACAACUGAACAAUUUCGGAUAAGAAUUAAACGAGGCAUGGGACUAUAUAAUAUGUGGUUGGUUGGUUGUAUUAUCUUGAUCAACACAUGUGUAUAAUUUUGUGUCUCGUUGCUUGCAGCCUAAAAGGAAAUGACUUUUAAAGCAGUUUUUAUCACUGUUCAAAUGAUAAGAUACUCUCUAAAGAAAAUAAAUAGGAAUUCCAAAAAAUAAGGUAAGUUCCAGUUACUCUUGAUUAUGUCACAUUAAAAAUAUCUCUCAAAAUUAUUCUCAAGUACCUACAUACAACUCAUUCUGUUUUACUGGCGAAAAUGAUCAUGGUUUGUAAAAUACGUCAAAACAACUUGUCAAGAUUUUUCACCUGAACUUGCAUAGCUGUCAUAAGGUAACUCACAGAGUUCUUACGGUGUUACCGUCAACAGUUGAAAGUUGAAUAAUAAUAUUAUCAUUAAUCAAGCGAUUUCAUAUUGGCCUAGUUAUUUGUCCUCGGGCAGUCGUAUUGGCCCUCGGCCUACGGCCUCGGGCCAAUACGACAACCCUUGGACAAAUAACAAGGCCAAUAUGAAAUUGCUUGAUUAAUAACAUUAUAAAAUUUGCCUGACUGAAAUAAGUACUGCAGACAAAUACUACUAACCACAUAGAAUUAAGCUAUAAAUAAAUUGUUAUGGAAAAUAACCAACAUGAACUAACAAUAACUUAAGCAAUAGCACGAUUUUAGAUAACAGACUUAACUAAGUAAUUACUUAAGUUUUUUCAUUAAAUAGGGGCCAGCCCUAAAUUUGCUUGGCAAAAGUCAAAAUUGGAAAGAAAAAAUAGGAAAUAUCAUUUCUGAUGUCAUGUAAUAAAAUAUUUAUUGAAUGGCAGGGUGGUCAUUAGUCAAAAUUAUUACGUGACUCCUAUGAGGCGCCGGUCCAUAGUUUGUAUAACAUGACCAGUUCACAAUCACACAUGUUUUUUAGACAUUUAAAAAUAAAGGUGUGAAAAUUAAUUUUUUAUAUCAUGUAUUAAACACUUACUGAAUGGCUCACCCGUUAAUAGUCAAAACUAUUAGCCCUAAGUCAUUUGGACCUUGGGCAAUAGUUUCAACUAUUGACUAGCAAGCAAUUAAAUAAGUAUGGGCUAUUGACCAUUGGUCCUCUGGCAAUACGGUACAACUAUCGACCUUCAGUGGUCAAUGGUUAAAAUUAUACAGCCAAAUAAAUGACUAUAGACCCUCAUCAGAAAACUAUCGACUGAGACAAAGGCAAGGGCAGUAGGAUACUGAUGAUGGUCAAUAGUCAUUUUCCAGUUUUAAACCCAAUGACCAUUUUAAAGGCAGGUUGUUGUUCUAUUGUAUUAAGUAGCAGUAAAAAGAAUUUCAAUGGAAGAACACCUUUUGGUGUUCAGUGCCACCUUGAUAUACUGUAUGUCGAGGUUACAUCAUUUCUAUUAUUGUUUUGGUUUCCAGGCAGAGUUUUGGUAAAAUUAUGGGUAGAAAUAUUAUAAAUAGUCUUUGAUGGUAUUUGUUUAGUUUACCUGAGCACAAAAAGAUCCCGAUGAGCAGUUGUGAUUGCCCUAUGUCAGAAGUACAUCAUCAUUGACUGUCAUCAACAAUUUCACUGGAGGUCACAAUUUUGUCCAACUCUUGGUGAAAAUUGAUCAAUAAAAUCUGGACAAGCUUCUCCUUGGCUAGGUUAUCUUGGAUCAAAAUCUAGGUCGUGAGGUCACUUUGUUAACACCCUAGAGGCCACAUUUUCUACAUCCUCUUCAUAAUACUUAGAAUGUUUGAUGCCACAUUCCCUACUUGACUUUCUUAUAAGCUUUGUCAGAAUAUCAAUAUGAAAUUUAGAUCAGGUUCUAAACUUGUUUGCCAGAGGUCAAAAACUAAGUAAGUUGAAUCAUAGAAAAACGUCACUGACACUCUAGGGGCAACAUUUGCUGCUUUGGAUUCAGUGUUGUUGGCUCACCUGAGCCAAAGGGCUCUGGGUUAGCUGUUGUGAUCACUCGCCAUCCGGCGUCCGUCCACACUUUCCUUUAAACAAUAUCUCCUCCUAAACCAUCACUUUAAUUUUGAUGAAACUUCACUGGAAUGAUCCUUGGAUGGUCCCCGUUCAAAAUUGUUCAAAGAAUUUAAUUCCACACAGAACUCUGGUUGCCGUGGCAACUGAAAGGAAAAACUUUAAAAAUCUUCUUGUCCAAAACCGCAAGGGGUAGAGCCUCAAUAUUUGGCAUGUAACAUCAUCUAUUGGUCCUCUAUGAAGUUUGUUCAAAUUAUGUCCCUGGGGUUAAAAGAGGUCCCACCCCGGGGGACCUAAGUUUUACAUAGACUUAUAUAGGAAAAAACUAAAAGUCUUCUUGUCUGAAACCACAAGACCUAGGCCUUUGAUAUUUGGUAUGUAGCUUGCCUUGUGGUCCUCUACUAAGUUUGUUCAAAUUAUGCCCCUGGGGUGAAAAGAGGCCCCACCCCAGGGGGUAUCAAGUUUAACAUAGACUUAUAUAGGAAAAAACUUUAAAAAAUCUUUUUAUCUGAAACUACAAGGCCUAGGCUUUUGAUAUUUGGUAUGUUGCGUUGCCUAAUGGUCCUUUACCAAGAUUAUUCAAAUUAUGCUCCUGAGGGGAAAACAGGCCCCGCCCAGGGAGUCCCAAGUUUUACAUAGGCUUAUAUAGGAAGAAACUUUAAAAAUCUUCUUAACUGAAACUGCAAGGCCUAGGCUUUUGAUAUUUGGUUUGUUGCUUGCCUUGUGGUCCUCUACCAUAAGUGUUCAAAUUAUGCCCCUGGGUUGAAAAUAGGCCCUGCCCCAGGGGCCCCAAGUUUUACAUAGACUUAUAUAGGAAAAAAAAUUAAAAUCUUCUUGUCUGAAAGUCCAAGGCUUGAGCCUUUGAUAUUUGGUAUGUAGCAUUGCCUAGUGGUUCUCUUACAAGAUUGUUCAAAUAUGCCCCUUGAGUGAAAAGAGCCCCCCCCCUCUGGGGAUCACUUGUAUAUGAGUUAUAUAGGAAAGAAUAUCUCAAAAAUUAUCAGAUCAUAUUACCUAGAUUGCUUAAUUAUAAUUACCUUGACCUACUGGCCUACUUUCUUGUUUUUAGCUCACCUGAGCAAGAAGUGCUCAAAGGUAAGCUUUUGUGAUCGCCCUGUGUCCGUAGUCCCUCCGUCCAUCGUCAACAGUUUGACUGUUAAUACUCUAGAGGUCACAAUUUUGGCCCAAUCUUAAUGAAACUUGGUCAGAAUGUUACUCUCAAUAAAAUCUUGGACGAGUUCGAUAUUGGGUCAUCUGAGGUCAAAAACUAGGUCACCAGGUCAAAUGAAAGGACAAGCUUGUUAACACUCUAGAGGUAACAAUUUUGGCCCAAUCUUAAUGAAACUUGGUCAGAAUGUUACUCUCAAUAAAAUCUUGGACGAGUUUGAUAUUGGGUCAUCUGGGGUCAAAAACUAGGUCACCAGGUCAAAUGAAAGGAAAAGCUUGUUAACACUCUAGAGGUCACAAUUUUGGCCCAAUCUUAAUGAAACUUGGUCAGAAUGUUACCCUAAAUAAAAUCUUGGACGAUUUUGAAAUUGGGUCAUCUGGGGUUAAAAACUAGGUCACCAGGUCAAAUCAAAGGAAAAGCUAGUUAACACUCUAGAGGCCACAUUUAAGACUGUAUCUUCAUGAAUCUGGGUCAUGUAGGAUCAAAAACUAGGUCACCAGGUCAAAUCAAAGGAAAAGCUAGUUAACACUGUAGAGGUCACAUUUAUGACCAUAUCUUAAUGAAGUUUGGUCAGAAUGUUGAUCUUGAUCUAUAGGUCAAGUUCAAAUCUGGGUCAGGUGGGGUCAAAAACCAGGUCAGUAGGUCAAAUCAAAGGAAAAGCUUGUUAACACUUUAGAGACCACAUUUAUAACCAUAUCUUAAUGAAACUUGGUCAGAAUGUUAAUCUUGAUGAUCUUUAGGUCAAUAGGUCAGGUGAGCGAUACAGGGCCUUCAAGGCCCUCUUGUUUAAGAUACAGCCUUGAAUUUUGGAUGACAUGUACAGUUUUGCACACCGAUCAGAACAGCAUAGAAAUUUGGACCACGUCAAUAACUUACGAUAAUGAUUUCAAUACUCAUCUUUAAAGUUCUUAGCCCUGACCUACUGACCUACUUCCUUGGUUUUGAAGCUACUGCAAAGAGAGUUGUAUAAUUUUUAACAGAUUUCAGUACUUAUCUUGAAGAAUAUUUACCAUGAUCUUCUCACCUAGUUUUUUUUUUGUAUUUGAAGCUCUAGCAAAGAAAUUUGUUCAAGCAAGCAAUUAAACUCAGGUGAGCGAUAUAGGGCCAUCAUGGACCUCUUGUUUUUAUUUUAGAUUUAUAAAUACUUUGUCACAAGCAAGAUCUAAUUAGGUCAAGGUCUGCCUCAGGUGAGCGACUUCCAGUUGGGCCUCUUAUUAUCUUUAAAUCCACUUUACUACAACUGAUCGAGACUUUCAGACCUGGAUUAAUUUUUGUUUAUAAAUUCUUUCUUAGUAUUUCCUUGUUACAGAGGAACGUUUUGUUGAAUUUGCCAUAGUUGGAUGUUCCAUUAAAGCUUUCUCUUUCAUGCUUUAAAAAAGUUCACAGAAGUUUCCCUUCCUUGUCUCUUUUCCAUGUUGCUUGAAAACAUAUCAGGUAAGUGAUAUAUGAUGCAUUUUGACAACGUGGAAUAAAAAAACAUAGCAAACUGAAUUUCUUUCUUUGUUCGCAACACAUGCAGUGUAAUGCAAAUUGUGUUUUCCAGUGUCCUGGAUUUCUCAAUAAAAUUGUGUUGCUUUGGUUUACUUGGCAUUUGAUGAUAAAGACCUUUGAACUGAAGCAACUUUAUAUUAAUUCCUUUUUCAAAUAUGGUAAUUGCCUUGUGAAAAGCAAGAAUGAUAUAUGAGCCACACCAUGAGAAAACCAACACUUUGGGACCAGCAUGGAUUCAGACCAGCCUGCGCAUC